UAUCAAAGCGUUAGCGGUAUAGGAUGGACCCGCGUCUGAUUAGCUAGUUGGUGAGAUAACUGCCCACCAAGGCGACGAUCAGUAGCCGACCUGAGAGGGUGAUCGGCCACAUUGGAACUGAGACACGGUCCAAACUCCUACGGGAGGCAGCAGUGGGGAAUAUUGCACAAUGGGCGAAAGCCUGAUGCAGCAACGCCGCGUGAACGAUGAAGGUCUUCGGAUCGUAAAGUUCUGUUGCAGGGGAAGAUAAUGACGGUACCCUGUGAGGAAGCCCCGGCUAACUACGUGCCAGCAGCCGCGGUAAUACGUAGGGGGCUAGCGUUAUCCGGAUUUACUGGGCGUAAAGGGUGCGUAGGUGGUCCAUCAAGUCGGUGGUUAAAGGCUACGGCUCAACCGUAGUAAGCCUCCGAAACUGUUGGACUUGAGUGCAGGAGAGGAAAGUGGAAUUCCC
rnacentral:rRNA from 1 species